UAGAGUUUGAUCCUGGCUCAGAUUGAACGCUGGCGGCAUGCUUUACACAUGCAAGUCGAACGGUAACAGGUCUUCGGAUGCUGACGAGUGGCGAACGGGUGAGUAAUACAUCGGAACGUGCCUAGUAGUGGGGGAUAACUACUCGAAAGAGUAGCUAAUACCGCAUGAGAUCUACGGAUGAAAGCAGGGGACCUUCGGGCCUUGUGCUACUAGAGCGGCUGAUGGCAGAUUAGGUAGUUGGUGGGGUAAAGGCUUACCAAGCCUGCGAUCUGUAGCUGGUCUGAGAGGACGACCAGCCACACUGGGACUGAGACACGGCCCAGACUCCUACGGGAGGCAGCAGUGGGGAAUUUUGGACAAUGGGCGAAAGCCUGAUCCAGCAAUGCCGCGUGCAGGAUGAACGCCCUCGGGUUGUAAACUGCUUUUGUACGGAACGAAAGCCUGGGGCUAAUAUCCCCGGGUCAUGACGGUACCGUAAGAAUAAGCACCGGCUAACUACGUGCCAGCAGCCGCGGUAAUACGUAGGUGCAGCGUUAAUCGGAAUUACUGGGGCGUAAAGCGUGCGCA
rnacentral:rRNA from 1 species